UGCCAGCAAUUCUAAUGCACCUUUCAGGCAC
rnacentral:piRNA from 1 species